UCAGGAGCUAAUCGCAUUGGGCGAAGUAGUUUGUACAGAAAGCAGAGGUCUCUCUGCUGAUACACUUGCCUCUUUACCUUCAGUGAAGUACAAGACACAAAAUGUUCAGGAUGGCAACGCAGAGCAAUGUGUAAUUUGCCGUGUGGAAUUUGAGGAAGGUGAAUCUUUGAUUGCACUUCCCUGCAAGCACUCAUACCACCCUGAAUGCAUAAACCAGUGGCUGCAAAUAAAUAAGGUAUGCCCUAUGUGCAGCGCAGAAGUUUCAACCUCGGGCAACAAGGAGGCAGAAGUUUCAGCCUCGGGCAACAAGGAAGCAUGACCCACUCUCAUAUGGCCAUUUUCGGAACUUGAUGGGAAUAACUAGCAGCAUCAGUGUAGCAUCUGUAUUGUUGAAUCAGCAUGUAAGCGGGCCGGUCUGCAGAGUUCCUGCAGGCCGCCGCAACUGCCGCGUGCGCAGGCGGCUUGCUCGGCAGGAGCCCAUGUGCUAAAGAUUUUCAACCUGCGUUGGCCCGCUAGGCCUUGGCGGAGGAUGCAAGCACACCUGCAGGCCGCCGCAACCGCCGCAACGUGGUUGAUGCUAACAGGAAGUUCACACGCUAUGGUUUUCAGGCAGCAAGGGCCAGGUGAUCCACUGGGUGAACAAGCUGGGAAGACGAGCUCAGAGCUUCAGGGACCAUGGUGAGUUGAGUAGUAGCCUUAAUUCACAUCGUCUACACAGAGCUCAGAGCUCAGAGCUGGGAAGAACAAAUAUGCAAUACUCCACUGACGCAUGUUCAGUUACCAUCUACACUAAAAACAAACAUCAUUGACAUCGUCUACACAGCCUUAAUUCAUUGUCUACAAUGCUUGAUGAAUCCAAAAUUCUACUGUGGAUGGACCGUCCUUGUUGCACGCCUAACAAAAAAGCACAGGUAAUCAUCCUUCAUGUAUCCUUUGUUAACACAAGACCUGCAAUGGAAAUCAAUAUGUCAUGUUAGUAACAGAUGUUCUUUGCAAAUACCAAAUUUGCAAAUUAGAAUGGCAUCUAAGUUUACAACCUAAUAUCCCACAUUUAGCAUAGGUUGCAGAGGAUUUGCGGGUUCUGUAAGAUUGAUUUCAUCUCAUUAUAUCAAAGCAACAGCUACAGCCGCAAAUUAGCCUGCUGAAGUGUUCAGGGUUGACAUGCUAGCCCCUUUGCAUAUCAAUUAGCAAGGCCAAGGCCAGCCCACAUAAGUACUUAAGCUUUGGUUUUAGCCUGCUAUCCACUAGCUGCUAUACAGAACAUAAAUUCACUAUGAAACUUUAUAUAAGCAAUCAACCAGCCAGACAACAAGAUCAGUUGGCAACAAAUUGGUAAUUGGGGCAUCACUCUUUCUUACCUUCGCAUUCAUUUAUUAAGGAGAGAAAAAAAUGGAAUGUUUCUAUAACACUCUUAUUGUGUGAUCCCUUGCAGCAAAGACCAAAGAGACAUGAACUUCAUACGAAAAUUGGAUCACAAGCGAACUACUUUAACAUAGCGAAGGAAAUACCACUGCUACAUCAUAAUUCGAUCAGAAUUACUACUUUAACAUGCUAGAAACUAAGGUUGUGUCCACAAUCAGAAUUUGACUAUAAUGAAUAGCCAACUUUUUUCAUUAAAAGAACAUAUUAACCAAACCAAAUACAGGGAGGCAAGUUAAUGAUGGCAGUAUAUUGCAAAAAGGCAUGCCAAUGGUAUAUUUUUUUAAUCUGAAUUAUGGCUUGUUCAAUCUGAACCAGAACCAGGCAAAAACAGGACCAAUACAAGGGUGGCUUAUUCCCUGUAGUAACAUGUAAAUUUAAAAUUUUAGUGCAUGUUGUAUUCAGAAGCCAAGAGCCCAAGAUACUAACCUCACGAACUGCAGUGCCAACAAAAUCACCUUUUUCAUCAUCUAGCAUGUGAUUCCAAUACAGGACUUGUCGGGCUGCGUGAUGUCGACCUUGGCCCAAUCACCACAGGUGACACAACCAACUUCAUCAUUGGAUUGUCACUAGCGGAGACACUUGUUUGUUUCCCACCAUUGGAGGCUUGAACCGCUUUGCAGGCCUCCGUUUACUUAUUUCUGCACGCCUCUUUAAUGGAGAGCUUGUAGGAGACUUUUGUUGAUUUCCCAUUGCAGGAGACUUCACUCGUUUUUUAGCCGAUUGCUUCUUUUGACUCAUUUCUGCCCGCUUUGCAACCAUGUGCCUUUUUUGAUUUCCCAUAGCAGGAAGCUUUUUAUGCUUCGUUGCUGAAGAGCUGAUCAAAGGUGCGCCACCUGAGCCCCCAACUUCUUCAGGUACAGAUUGUGAUGCCAACUCCAUCUGCAAAGAAGAAAUUCAACAUUAUUUCAAGAUAAGAUAAGAAUGUCAUGUAUGACAAGCAAGAAAAAUCAACAGCGAAUAAAACUAACGAGGAACUCAUAGGAACAAUCUGAAUACAGACUAAAUCAUGUCAUCCACUGAAAGCAUCAAAUUUCAGUAUGCUAUUGAAAUGAUCUGGUCAAACUUGAAAAUUUGAGCUGUAAAAGAAUACACAUGCAUUUCUUCUAUGUCUAAAAUAAUUUGAGCUGUAAAUUUUAUUACUGGUAUGUCUAAAAUAUUUUGUCUAAAAUAUUUCAAAAAGAUCUUUAACUUUAACCUUACUAUCAGCUAGGGAGAACAAUCUAAAAGCUCAUUUACAUGUGACUAAGAGACAAAAAAAAACUAGUAACAAGGCAUACAAAUGGUUCUAGCAAUCAAUUCUGAACAUGAACUUAGGCACUCAAUUACUCAAUUAACAAAAUCAAAUUUGGUGGACCUAGACAGGGAAUGUCUAGCCCACGAAUCAGACUCAAUUAACAAACUAGUAACAAGGCAUACUAACAUGUAACCUUCACAUACAGGAAAGAAAUGAACUUUCAUUCAGUUAUUGUUUAGGUUACAGAACAAGUGUCUUGCUUCUGGACAUGUUUAUUAUUACAAAUAAACUCCAUUUCCUUCACAGUUUGAGAAUUUUGCUGAUGAAUCUUGUACCGGAUUAUAACCAAUAUGCUUACUCAGAGGCAAACUAUCAACAGGUUCAGAUUCGACCAAGGAUAAACAAAUUUAGAUUUAACCAAGUACAAACAAGUGUUCAAAUUUAACCAAGGAUAAAAAUAAAUUUUGCAAUCCAUAAUCUUUGUAGGAAACUCACAAGAACAGGCAAUAGGAAUAGAUGCCAGUAACGAGGCAUGUUAUUAUUUUACUCGAAAUUCAGGACAGCAUCAGCACCCAUCCAAGAAACUCAACAGGACGAACAGGGGUCAGGGAAAGGUUGCACGCUGCAACUUCCCAUCAAGUCUGAACCAUCAACACGUUCAGAUUUAGCCAAGGUCAAAACCAAAUUCAGAAAGGAUGAGCAAUGCGGUAAUCCACAAGAACACGAACAGGAAGCACAGAUAUAUAGAUCCCGACUACGAUAUGGACUGCAACUACGAUAUACACUGCAUCCCUGAUGGCAGAGGGAGGCCGGGAAGGAGAAGAUUCGGUGGCCUGGCGCAACAAGAACUGUGCGGGUCCGGAGGGCAUGGUGGCGCCAUGAAUCAGAGGCGGUCGUGCUUCGGCUUGCUGCGCACAGGACGGCGCGGGCACAGAUGCAAGGGUAGCCGCGCGGACUGCUGGGGAGGGAGGGCGACGCCGCGGAUUUUGCGGAGCUCUGCAUCGCCGGAGUGAGGGAGGGGGCGGCGCGGACUGCAGGAGGGAGGGAGGAGGCGGCACGGACAGCAGGAGGGAGGGGGGGCGGCGGCGCGCAAGGCGCGAUGCCGAUGCGUCUGCUCGUCGCCCCGAGCCCCCGAUGUACAGGGAAGGGAGAAGGAAGGGAAGGGAAGGGAAAAGGAAGGUGGGCUGGCCUGCAGAACCCACCAGGUUUGGCGGGAUGUAUAUUUAAGGCCCAUUUGUAAAAUGCUGAUUGUGGCAGGCGUUUGGAAAUGUGUUUUUGCAAGUGGCGGUUGCAGGCAACUAGGCCGGCCUGCACCUGCCUACAUCGAUUGUUGAAGCAAAAGCAGAAAAACAUAUUAGAACAUGAAAGGAUAUUGUGUUUCAACAAACAAACAAAAAAAAAAAACAUGCAAGGAAGUCAGGAAAUAUUUAAUCCUCGUUUCACUCUUUUUCUCCUGGCUCUGCUCGCUGAACUUUCUCUGCCUUGCCGAAAUGCUUUAUGUUCCCUUGAGACGCCUUGUGGCUGUUGUAUUAUCCAUAAAUGCACUGAUUAUAUUAUAUAUAUUAUUUAGUCAUUCUUUUUACUGGUCC